AUGGUUUCCAGAGACGGUGAGACCUCGUCGCUAAACGUUGUUUCCUCUGCAAGUAACUUACAAGGAUGUCUGCGUGGAAAUCCCUGGACACUCGAUACCCCCGGGGGACCUGCUUUUCCCGCAGCUCCGCAGACGCGGCAGAAGGGCGCGCUGGCCCCGGCGCUGCUGGGACAGAGGUGGCAAAAGGAACAUGAUGGUUCCUGCACAUCCUGGCAUGCAGAUGAAGGGCAGUCUGUCACAGGUUCCCAAGCAGGAGACCUGAGAUACACCUUGACUGGACCUGAAAAUACAAAAAGAUAAAUGACAAGAAAACAAGACAAUGUAGAAGAGGAAUUUGAAAAACAAGAGCUGACGGCCAUUGGUUUUAAAUGGGACUACCCAAUGAGAGUGGCUGUUCACAUUGAUGUGAAACAUUGUCCAGUUUUAAGGUAAAUACUUUCCUCCAGUUUUGUGUUUGGAUUCUUUGAAGAGUGGAGAUCCUGCUAUACAUGGGAAUGUUAAUUAACCAGAACCUCGUCACUAUUCUGGAUAAAUGGAAGCUUCUGUGUUCAGAAUUUAAAGUUGUUGUUAAGAAUUCAGCUUGAGGUAAAGAUAAAUUUUGUAAUUUAUGUCUAUAAGAAGCUUCUAUGUAAAUAACUACUAUUGUUGUUUGCAAAUAAUAGAUUGGAUUAUAAUGGGUGAAAAAGUAUAUAAUAAUUAGCCAAAAGAAUGGUAAUCUUUUUUUUUUUUUUUUUUUUUUGAGACGGAGUUUUACUCUUGUUGCCCAGGCUGAAGUGCAACGGCGCCAUCUCGGCUCACUGCAACCUCCACCUCCCGGGUUCAAGCGAUUCUCCUGCCUCAGCCUUCCUGAGUAGCUGGGCUUACAGGCAUGCGCCACCACGCCAGACUAAUUUUGUAUUUUUAGUAGAGAUAAGGUUUCUCCAUGUUGGUCAGGCUGGUUUCGAACUCCCGACCUCAGGUGAUCCACCCGCCUCGACCUCCCAAAGUGUUGAGAUUAUAGGCGUGAGCCACCGUGCCCAGCCUAAGAAUGGUAAUCUUAUUGAUAAUGAUUUUAUUUAAGAGCAAAUAUACCAAAGGUGUCAAAUGAGGGGGAAAAACUGAAAUAAAAAAUGAAAGAGCAAGCAAAUAGCUGAGCAUGGUGGCUCAUGCCUAUUGUCCCAGCUACUGGGGAGGCUGAGGCAGAAGGAUCACUUGAGCCCAGGAAUUCAAGGUUACAGUGAGCUACAAUUGCACCACUGUACUCCAGCCUGAGCAACACAGCAAGACCUGGCUCUAAAAAUAAAAAUUAAAAAUGGUAAUAGUUGUAAAAGCAAAUGUCUUUUCUUGAAGACAUACCAUGUUACCUGUAUAACAGAAGUAAUGUAAUUUUUAGAGAGGUCCUAGAUAAGAACUAAAAAUCUCUGGGCACUUGAAACUAGUUCUAGCUGUGCCCCUGUCUGAUCUGAGACAGUGUAUCUAUAUCUCAGGUUUCAUUUUUUCUCAUCUGUAGAACUGAUUCUUUGGCAGAAGCUAUACCUAGCUGAGGAAGACAGAAAGUCACGCAUUAAUACAGAUACAUGAAGAUGUCCUUCAUCUCGGUGUGUGUGCCGGGCAGCUCACCUUUGGUGGUUUCUCUGUGCUUUCAUAACAGGAACAGCACAGAAUAAGUGAUAGAUUACUAUUCUCUUCUUUUGCUUUAACUAAAGGAACAUUUAGGCCUCUUUAGGUUAAGGAUAAAGCUUGUCAAGUUAAAUUACUACUAAUAAACAUAGAACAAUGAAACUAGAAAACUACCAUCUGGAAAACACCACAGUAACAGUU
ensembl:lncRNA